GGUUUCCCCUAGUAACUGCGAGUGAAGAGGGAAAAGCUCAAAUUUAAAAUCUGGCUUCCUUAGGUUGUCCGAGUUGUAAUCUAGAGAAGCGUCAUCCGCGCUGGACCGUGUACAAGUCUCCUGGAACGGAGCGUCAUAGAGGGUGAGAAUCCCGUCUUCGACACGGACUACCGGGGCUUUGUGAUGCGCUCUCAAAGAGUCGAGUUGUUUGGGAAUGCAGCUCAAAAUGGGUGGUAAAUUCCAUCUAAAGCUAAAUAUUGGCGAGAGACCGAUAGCGAACAAGUACCGUGAGGGAAAGAUGAAAAGAACUUUGGAAAGAGAGUUAAACAGUACGUGAAAUUGCUGAAAGGGAAACGCUUGAAGUCAGUCGCGUUGGUCGAGAAUCAGCCUUGCUUUUGCAUGGCUUAUUUCGCGGUUCAACGGGUCAGCAUCAAUUUUGACCAUUGGAUAAAGAUGAGAGGAAUGUAGCAUCUUCGGAUGUGUUAUAGCCUCUUGUUGCAUGCAGUGGUUGGGAUUGAGGAACUCAGCACGCCGCAAGGCCGGGAGCAAUCCACGUUCGUGCUUAGGAUGCUGGCAUAAUGGCUUUAAUCGACCCGUCUUGAAACACGGACCAAGGAGUCUAACAUGCCUGCAAGUGUUUGGGUGUAAAACCCAUGCGCGCAAUGAAAGUGAAAGUUGAGAUCCCUGUCGUGGGGAGCAUCGACGCCCGGACCAGACCUUUUGUGACGGAUCCGCGGUAGAGCAUGUAUGUUGGGACCCGAAAGAUGGUGAACUAUGCCUGAAUAGGGUGAAGCCAGAGGAAACUCUGGUGGAGGCUCGUAGCGAUUCUGACGUGCAAAUCGAUCGUCAAAUUUGGGUAUAGGGGCGAAAGACUAAUCGAACCAUC
rnacentral:rRNA from 1 species